rnacentral:rRNA from 1 species
GAUGAACGCUGGCGGCGUGCCUAAUACAUGCAAGUCGAGCGAACAGAUGAGGAGCUUGCUCCUCUGACGUUAGCGGCGGACGGGUGAGUAACACGUGGAUAACCUACCUAUAAGACUGGGAUAACUUCGGGAAACCGGAGCUAAUACCGGAUAAUAUAUUGAACCGCAUGGUUCAAUAGUGAAAGACGGUUUUGCUGUCACUUAUAGAUGGAUCCGCGCCGCAUUAGCUAGUUGGUAAGGUAACGGCUUACCAAGGCAACGAUGCGUAGCCGAUCUGAGAGGGUGAUCGGCCACACUGGAACUGAGACACGGUCCAGACUCCUACGGGAGGCAGCAGUAGGGAAUAUUCCACAAUGGGCGAAAGCCUGACGCAGCAACGCCGCGUGAGUGAUGAAGGUCUUCGGAUCGUAAAGCUCUGUUAUUAGGGAAGAAAAACUGUGUAAGUAACUAUGGCCGUCUUGACGGUACCCAAUCAGAAAGCACCGGCUAACUACGUG